GGCAAAUCUACUUAUUAAUUGUUGAGUGCAUUCUGUGCUUCAUGUUUGUCUUGGCAAAACCGUGUGAGAGAGAGAGACAGAACCGUGGGUGAGAGAGAGAGAACCGUGAGUGAGGGAGAGUUCAAUUUCUUAGAUCUUUGCUGGAAAUUUUGAAGGAAAACCAAGAGAAAAGUGAAGAAAAGGAAGAAGAAACUCAAGUUUGGCUUGGAUUUGUCAAGAUUAUGCAAGAUUAAGUGUCUAUGAAGACUCUAGGUCGCGCGCCAUUGUCUACCUGAUUUAUCUGAUAUGUCCAGUCCGUCUGAUUUGCUUCUGCGGCUAUCUGUGAUCAGGCUCGUGACCAGGCUUAGAGACAUCUGCCUAGAAUCUGUUUUUGUCAGCCAACCUAUGUGCCUCUCGUGGAGGUUCCGAAUGUGUCAAGUGAUUAUGGCUAUGCGAUUUAAAGUUUAAGUUUUGCUUUCUUGUUUGGUUAAACAAGUCUUGUGUAUUUUGUAAAUAGGGCUAAGUCCCUUUCUGCCUAAUCUGUAUAUAUAUUAUGACGUGAGGAUGAUGUGUAUAU